CGCGUAGGCGGCCGCCUAAGUCAGACGUGAAAUCCCUCGGCUCAACCGGGGAACUGCGUCUGAUACUGGGUGGCUUGAAUUCGGGAGAGGGAUGCGGAAUUCCAGGUGUAGCGGUGAAAUGCGUAGAUAUCUGGAGGAACACCGGUGGCGAAGGCGGCAUCCUGGACCGAGAUUGACGCUGAGGCGCGAAAGCCAGGGGAGCAAACG
rnacentral:rRNA from 1 species